CAAACUUCCUCCUCAACAACCAAUGUGCGCUCGAUGUUUAGUGACUUCUGAAAUGAAACCACAGCCUUUUAUACUUUUCCAAAACCAGCUGAUGACAGAAGCAGCAUUCACCAACACAAACCCCUGCUUUCACACCCCUUCUGGAUCAGCACACUCCGUAGCUUCCCUGCUAACAAACUAGCAAACGUUGAGUUGCGCUUGAGAUCGGAAGAGCACACGACUGAA